rnacentral:lncRNA from 1 species
UGCAUCUCCAUUGAUUAGCUUUUGUCAAAGAUUUAUAACAGUAAUGAGAUAUAUGACUGGUGCAUAUCUCACACACACACACACACACACACACACACACAUUUUUGGUUGAAUUUUCCUGUGUGAACCACAUUGAAGUUAACUUUCUUUUCAAGCUCAUGUUGUCUCUUUCCUGAUACAUACAUUCCAGUGUAAUUGGCAGCCUGUCUUCCUAUCACAUGAAAAACAAACAAACAAAACACAAAAACAGAAAUUGUAUCUUUAAAUGGUGUUUUAUUCUGAGAAGAGGGGAUCAUCAUCCUGAAGAUCUGUUCUCCAGCUCUUCUUUCCUCAGAAGGCUAUACAGGGAGAAGACAGGAAAGCCGUCAGUCAUUUCAAAGAUCACUCCCUGCCCAACUCAGCUAAGCUCCCAGUCAACUAGAAAUGGACUUUGAGUUCUCAGCAGCAGAGCUAUUCAAAGACAGAUGGCUUAGGACUCAAAGGGGAUGGACACCUGCAGUGGUCAAAGCCAGGGGACAUCCAAAGGGUUAGAGAUGAGAACUAAGGGAUGGAGCCUGGCGUCAUGGCAUGGAGCUGGCUUGGGAAAUGGAAACAUGAUACCAGCUGGAAAUGUAAAUGUUGUAGUAGAAACAGCUUCGGAGAAACAGCAGUGACAAGAUAUGCAGCCCUUACCCUCUCACAGAACUUAUAACCUGGAUGAGCUGUGUCAGCGGUAAUACUAGGCAUAACUGCUGGUAUACUGCAUCAACAUUUAACGUGGUUGAAAGUACACAGUCAGUAAGACUAAAUGACCGCCCACAGAAGGGGAAAAGAUCUUCACCGAUCCCACGUCUGACCGAGGGCUGAUUUCCAAAAUAUACAAGGAAGCUAGCCAUCAAAUAUAUAUAAAGAAGCUAGCCAUCAAAACACCAAACAAUGAAAUUAAAAAGUGGGGUGCAGAACUAGAGAAUUCUCAACAGAGGAAUCUGAAAUGGCUGAGAGA